GUUUGUAGCCAUGGUCGCUGGCCCAGGGCCAUGGCGGUGGAGAAACAGCUCACUGGACAGGAAGCAGAGAGAUCCAAGGGGGAGCCAGAGGGAGAUAAACUCUUCUAGACCAUGCCUCUUCCUCUCCACUUCCUUCUACUCCAGUGGCUGCCUCAUCCGACCAGGCCCGCCUCCCACUAGCAAGUCAACUCUAAGCCCACAAUCCAGUCUCCUUCCCAAAGACCCACCUAGGAAUGCAUGAGUCACUUGGGGGACACAUCUAGAUAUAAACCGUAAUAGUGGGCUGGGGAUUUAGCUCAGUGGUUUCACCUCCUGCUGCGCAAGCGCAAGGACCCGAGUUCGAUCCCCGGUACCAAUCCCCCCCCCCCCCCACCAUAAUAGUCACCCUUUCUGUUCCCAGCUGCACCCUGCACUGGACCCAGAUUUUCCCCUUCUGAUCAGGGGUGGUGCUGGUCCAGUACUGCUAUCUGCAGAAAUAGCAGGGGCUGGGCAGCUGUGUCUAGAAGGUCAAGGGUGUGGCUCUCCCUCCUUCCCAUUCCCUGUGACCUCUUUGCACUGGGUGUUUCCGGGCCCUUUGGGCAGUUCCGCUUGUGUUCCUCACGAGUGUCAUCCGUGACCUGGGCCAUGUGUCCACACUCCCUGUCUGCCAUUGUCUUCUGCAGUCUUCAUGUUUUGACUUUGUCCCCCCUCCUUAGCUUUUUCCAAAGUGUUCUCAACCAUUUUGAAGUGGUUUUUGGGUCCAGAUUUCUUCCCCUGUGGCUCUAGGUCAGAGACAUGCCUGAGUCUGGCUUCUUCUCCCCAGCACGGAGCUUGUGGGGUCCCUGAGCCCUGGGAUGUCUGUGCCUCUCCCCUGUGAGAUGGGAAAUGUUCUGCUAUAAAGCAGCACGAGGGGAAAAAACAAUUUGCAUUGGGCUUUGUUUAAUUUAUCCUUGAGCUGUGAGUCUUGAGUACAUUUCCCAUCACGAUAUCUGAGACAACUCUGAAGAUUCUUAUUCUGGGAUCAGUUUUAUCCUGAAGUGGCACCCGCUUAACACAGAAACUCCCGUGCUUUUAGCUGAAUAAAGGUCAAACAAUCAGAUGUCUGGACAGACAGCUCAUUUAUCAGGAGAGACCACACGCCAAGCACUAAUCUGCGGCGCCGCUCGAGGACCACACCACAAAAGGUUAAUGGAUGCAGAGGACUGGAUUCGUCUCAGCAGCGCGUAAUGCUGCUCGGAGCAGACAUUUCCAUUUUUACUCAGUUUAGUGGAUGGGUAUAGAACUGAUUUUCAGUUCUAAUUGCCCCAUUUAGGACGGCCGCCAGGAAACAUCUCACUGGGGUCAAGACUGCCCUUUUUGAGAAAUCUUCUCUCUGAUUAUCUGCAAGAAAAAAAAAGUGCUCCUGAUGGAAGCUGAGCUGUGAAUUAGCAGAGUACAGAUCCCUUCAAGUCCCAGGCAGUCGUGUGCCUCCAGACCAGCCCUGCUCUGUGUAAGGACAACGAGAGGUGACGCGUGACCCACCCCACUGUGUGGCACCUGGAGUGAUGUUGGCUGCCUCUGUCUGGUGCAGAGGGCCAGCCAGUUGCUCCGACACAGCGAUCCCGAGUGUGCCCUGUCCAGGCCUGUGGCAUUGUCCUGGUGACCAGUGUCAUGGGGCCAUGCCCACUCAGAGCCAGUACUGGAUGGGGAAGAAGCAAACAGAAGAUGCCCUGGGUCCGAUGUGGGUCCUGGGGUAGCAGGUGCCUGUGGGUGGUGUCGUGAGUGGCCAAGGUGCAGAGGGGACCCUGGCGCUGGGCACUGGACGGGGCCUCUGUCCCCAUGGUACCUCUUAGUGCUGGGAUGACAAUUAAAUCUCUUUCCUAUCUUUAGAAAGAAAACCAAGAUUAAUUAGCAG
ensembl:lncRNA